rnacentral:lncRNA from 1 species
GGUAUGAUAAAAAUUUACAGUAGCACACUUUUAAUGGUGUUUGAAGUAAAUUAAUGAGAAAUUGCACUUCAUGUACAAAGAUAACUGCAUAAUUUGCAGAUAUGGAAAAGCCACUUUCUCGCUGAUGUGUCUUUUUAUAAUGGCUGUUGUACCCCUAUGUUGAGCGAAAACACAACCUAUACCAUAUUCAGAACCUCUGUAUCUCUACAUUACACGUGUUUAUUUUUUAUCAAGAGAGAGUUACUUCCUCAUCCACCAAUCGAUACACUCUUUGGUUUUCCUCGAUAAUUUCAUCGCCUAUUGCUACAAAAUUACCUCGUCUUCUCCAUCAUAAUUGAUACACUCUUGAUAUCUCCUCUCUUCUUAUCUUCAAAUUUAUCACCUUCUUUUCUUUUCUAUCGCCGUCACACCAUCAUGUCAACUAACCGUCGCAUCGUCACUCCAUCACACCAUUACCUCUGCUCAAGCUCGCCAUCACACAGUUACCUCACCUCUGCUCAAGCUCACCGUCACGCCGUCACCUCACGUAUGUUACAGCUUCCCGUCACCUCACCCUUGCUACAGCUUGCCUUCAUUUCAGCUAAUGGAGAGGAGGAAGAUCCAUGAUGCUAUAGAGGAGGAAGAAGAACAAGAGGAGAGAGAACAAAUAAAAGGAUGAGAGAGGAUGCCGAAGAAGAAGCGAAGAACAGAGGCUCCCGGAGACACGACGACGGAGACUGGCCAUAGAAGCUGACGGAAGAGUAAACGUCUGUUUACUGAUGACAUCCUGGAUUACUAGUUGCAUGAGUCUCUGUUGAAUCACACACAAAAUAAUCAUUGUUGCGAAUAAUAUAAUAUGUAUGAAUCACAGGUCUUGAAUAUCAUCUUCCUUGUUCAUUACGCGUUUAUGUUUUGAUUUCAUGCAAACAACAAAUGCAAUAUUACAAUUCAAGAUACAAUAUUAGUAAAACAUAAAUAAUUUGGUAUGAGUUAUCCCAAACCAGCUAACAAUAAGCAUAACCAUAUAAAGAAUAUAAAAUAUUUUAAUAGGAAAUCUUAUGUUUAGUCGAAUAUAAUAUAUUAUAUACGGCUAACCAUUUUUUUAACCAUAUAUUGUGAUUUAAUAGAUGGUUAAUUUUAUGUUUAACCGUAAAAGUAAAUUCAGUCAUAUAUUUUGCAGUUUAUUAGAGAGUUAAUUUUAUAUUUAGCCGUACAUGUAAAUCUAUUGCAAUUUGUUUGAGAGUUAAUUUUCUGUUUAGCCGAUCACAAAUUAAUAUUAUGUAUUGUGAUUUGUUAGAGAGUUAAUUUUCUGUUUAGCCGAACAUAUAUUUUUUUUACAUUCACUAGUCCAAACACCAAAUAUAAGACUAUUAAUGUGUUCGUUUUUCGUAGCCGGCUAACUAUAAAAAAAAGACAAAAAAAUAUGUUAACCGGUUAUUUCAUAAAUUACAUCAUUAUUAAAUAGAAAAACAAUUCCAAGAACUGUGAUAACAAUUAAGAAAAAGUACACUACUUCGGUACUUUACCCUUAGCCUGCUCUUGUCUUCUCAACUGAUCCACCAGAGAUGAUACUUGAUGAUGGUAAAGUGGCGGAGGCAGCGGUGGAUGGUGAUGAGACUAGUUCACGCGCCGUCGUACAAAGAGACGAAGAGAAAAAAUUGCUUUUUUAUAUUUCGUAUAUGAUUGGAUAGACGAAACUUUUAAAUCGAAUUGAAAAGAGUUUAUGAUUUACAAAAUUGAGAUUUGGAUUUGCCAAGAAAGAAAAAAGAGACGAUGAUAAUUCUGAAAAAUUACAGAAUAGAAAGAGAAAGAGAAAGAGAGAACGUGAAAGAAGAGACAAAAUAAUGUUUUUAAC